AUACGUAGGGGACGAGCGUUGUCCGGAAUUACUGGGCGUAAAGGGCGCGCAGGCGGAUAUUUAAGUCAGCUGUAAAAGGCAUGAGCUCAACUCAUGUAUGCGGUUGAAACUGGGUAUCUAGAGUGCUGGAGAGGUAGGCGGAAUUCCCGGUGUAGCGGUGAAAUGCGUAGAUAUCGGGAAGAACACCAGUGGCGAAGGCGGCUUACUGGCCAGCAACUGACGCUGAGGCGCGAAAGCCAGGGGAGCGAACGGGAUUAGAUACCCCGGUAGUCCUGGCAGUAAACGAUGUAUGCUGGGUGUGAGACUAGCGAUAGUUUCGUGCCGAAGGUAACGCGAUAAGCAUACCGCCUGGGGAGUACGGUCGCAAGAUUGAAACUUAAAGGAAUUGACGGGG
rnacentral:rRNA from 1 species